AUUGAACGCUGGCGGAAUGCUUUACACAUGCAAGUCGAACGGUAGAGGGGGCAACCCCUUGAGAGUGGCGAACGGGUGAGUAAUAUAUCGGAACGUGCCCAGUCGUGGGGAUAACGUAGCGAAAGUUACGCUAAUACCGCAUACGAUCUAAGGAUGAAAGCGGGGGAUCGCAAGACCUCGCGCGAUUGGAGCGGCCGAUAUCAGAUUAGGUAGUUGGUGGGGUAAAGGCUCACCAAGCCAACGAUCUGUAGCUGGUCUGAGAGGACGACCAGCCACACUGGAACUGAGACACGGUCCAGACUCCUACGGGAGGCAGCAGUGGGGAAUUUUGGACAAUGGACGCAAGUCUGAUCCAGCCAUUCCGCGUGCAGGAUGAAGGCCCCUCGGGUUGUAAACUGCUUUUGUACGGAACGAAAGGUUUCUAUUAAUACUAGGAGCUCAUGACGGUACCGUAAGAAUAAGCACCGGCUAACUACGUGCCAGCAGCCGC
rnacentral:rRNA from 1 species